CCGCAAGAUCAUGACCUGAGCUGAAAUCAAGAGCCUGAUGCUCAACCGACCAAGCCGCCCAGACGUCAGUACAAAAAGAUUAAGACAAACUGCUACAUCUUGUACAGCUGUUACUUAUUUUCUCGUGAGGCUUUACGGUCUCUGAAAAAGCAGUAGUGGUAUUUCGCAUGUUUAAAAAAAUGCUCAAAAUACCGUGAAUUGUAUAGAGUAGCCUAUCGUAUCACGUUUCUGGGAACAAAAUUUUGCCAACAAGAAUUAAAAGAAUGAAAGAAAACCGUCAGGAGAUAUCGUGGCCCAAUGAUGGCAGAGGCAAAAAUUGUUCUGGGCUCUGAAAUGGGAGAGAUCCCCACAGAGGGCGUGAUGAAGGACGCGUUCGCAGCACUGGGGCUGAGUGGCCUCCAAGGUGAGUGGGUUUCGCGUACGUGGAAAGGGGGCAGAGGUGGCGACGGAACGGUGAAGUGACUAAGGUGCCCGAGUCUUCGAGACAAAGCCAGAGAGAGGCCGCACAAGAGCACGUCCGCCACGUCUUUGCAGAGAUCCGGCUUGCUUCCAUCCCCCGCCAUGUCUAACGUGUUUGGAAUAAGACGCUUUUCUCCUUUCUGGUCGCUGGUGCCUCUGAGUGAUCAACAGUGUGGAGGUUUGCUGAGCGCAGGCGCUUUCCUAGAUGCAGCCGAGGAUGGUGCCUGGCCUGCCUCUGAGGACUCUUCGGAAUAACGAGAUGCAAACGUGCUCUCUGUGAGACUUGUCCUCAACCAGCCCACAGUCUUCCUGCACCGGGUCUGUCGUGGCGCCUCCAAGUUGACGUGCUUGGAUCCUUCAUCUGUUUUUGUGGCUCGCCCUCUCUCAUUCUUGGCCUUCUUUCUGCCUGUCCACCUGCCACCCCUGCCACAUACUUUUUCUCCGAGUCUGUGGCUUUCGGGGACUCUUCUGGUAAGGAGGAGGAGAGGGAUAGAUGCAUAUGCGUUUAGCAGUGAACAAAUAAAUGCCUGCACGUGAUGUAACUGCCAUGUGACCUAAGGUCGCAUCACGUGGAGUAUAGUACUUGAAACAAGGGAGGUGGUCUCUUCUGACUCUUGAGUAGGCACGAGGCGAGGCGGCAUAGAGGGUAGAGGUUAAGAAUACAGGGCUCUGGAGACAGGCUGCCUACAUUUCAGUACCAGCUUUCAUUUCCUAACUUGGUGGCCUUGAGCAACAUACUUAACUUCCAUGUCUGUUUCCUCAUUUCCAAUAUGGGGAAUAGUAAUAGUAAUCUUGUCUAAUGGAGUUGUUGACAUUAAAUUGCACUUCUGUAAUCAAAGUGCUUAGAAGGGAGCCUGGCACAUAAGUACUCCAUGGAAGUUGGUUUUUACAGUUGUCGGUUCCGGGAAGCAUUCUUUAAAGAAGCGUGCAGACGCAGUGUGGCCGACUUCGAGGAUGUGACUGUGGGGGUAAGGGGACAGGCCAUGCGAUCUAAGUGAAGGCCGCAGGAAUCAGGGAGGCCGAGACUAGAAAAGAAAACUCAAGAGGAUGUACGGUUUUUUUUCAGAGAUCUGUGGAAGUCUCCUCUUGUGUUUGUCAUCUGUCACAGUGUGUAUGGCCCCAAAGUGAUGGCCUUUGUAAUAGUCUUGGAGGAGGUGAAGGAGUCAGGGGGGAUAGGGGUGACAGGUGUAUUUCCAUGAUCACGUCAGAGUCCAGAUUCCAGUUCUGUCCUCACCACGUUUGACCUGCAGCUUUACUCACAUCUUUGGUAGCUCAGUUUAUUGAUCUGUAAAAUGGAAAUAAUAAAGACUUGUGCUGUUUUGAUGGAAAGAGGUGACAGGGAUGCUAGCGGUUUGUAGUGGGGCAGAAGGGUACCUGCAGGUGUCCGAGAUCUGGCCCUCAGCCUGGCAGGUGUAAGCUUCUGUUAGUAACUUGCCCACAGGCGAUUUUGGCGACAGACUGAUGCUAAUUUCUCUCUUUCAGCGCUGGAGUAGUGGCCCCCAAAAGAUGUAUCCAUGGUCCUCGUUUCCAAAUAAAGUAGCAUUUACAAA